rnacentral:lncRNA from 1 species
GCUAACGGAUUGUUUUUUUCUUUCCCUAUUCCCUAUAUUGGGGACGGCAGAUAGGCUAGUGGAUAGAGGAGGCAGGUAGCCUAGUGGUUAGAGGAGGCUGGUAGCCUAGUGGUUAGAGGAGACAGGUAGCCUAGUGGUUAGAGGAGACUGGUAGCCUAGUGGUUAGAGGAGGCAGGUAGCCUAGUGGUUAGAGGAGACAGGUAGCCUGGUGGUUAGAGGAGGCAGGUAGCCUAGUGGUUAGAGGAGACAGGUAGGCUAGUGGUUAGAGGAUACAGGUAGGCUAGUGGUUAGAGGAGACAGGUAGCCUAGUGGUUAGAGGAGGGAGGUAACCUAGUGGUUACAGGAGACAAGGAGCCAAGUGGUUAGAGGAGGAAGGUAGACUGGUGGUUAGAGGAGGCAGGUAGCCUAGUGGUUGGAGGAGACAGGUAGACUAGUGGUUAGAGGAGGCAGGUAGACUAGUGGUUAGAGGAGACAGGUAGCCUAGUGGUUAGAGGAGGGAGGUAGCCUAGUGGUUAGAGGAGGGAGGUAGACUAGUGGUUAGAGGAGGCAGGUAGACUAGUGGUUAGAGGAGGCAGGUAGCCUAGUGGUUAGAGGAGGCAGGUAGACUAGUGGUUAGAGGAGGCAGGUAGACUAGUGGUUAGAGGAGGCAGGUAGCCUAGUGGUUAGAGGAGAGGAGGUAGACUAGUGGUUAGAGGAGGCAGGUAGCCUAGUGGUUAGAGGAGGCAGGUAGCCUAGUGGUUUGAGGAGGCAGGUAGCCUAGUGGUUAGAGGAGACAGGUAGCCUAGUGGUAAGAGGAGACAGGUAGUCUAGUGGUUAGAGGAGGCAGGUAGACUAGUGGUUUGAGAAGGCAGGUAGCCUAGUGGUUAGAGGAGGCAGGUAGUCUAGUGGUUAGAGGAGGCAGGUAGGCUAGUGGUUAGAGGAGGCAGGUAGACUAGUGGUUAGAGGAGACAGGUAGCCUAGUGGUUUGAGGAGGCAGGUAGUCUAGUGGUUAGAGAAGAGAGGUAGCCUAGUGGUUAGAGGAGGGAGGUAGCCUAGUGGUUUGAGGAGGCAGGUAGACUAGUGGUUAGAGGAGGCAGGUAGCCUAGUGGUUAGAGGAGGCAGGUAGACUAGUGGUUAGAGGAGGCAGGUAGACUAGUGGUUAGAGGAGGCAGGUAGCCUAGUGGUUAGAGGAGAGGAGGUAGACUAGUGGUUAGAGGAUACAGGUAGCCAAAUGGUUAGAGGAGGGAGGUAGACUAGUGGUUAGAGGAGACAGGUAGCCAAGUGGUUAGAGGAGGGAGGUAGCCUAGUGGUUAGAGGAGGCAGGUAGACUAGUGGUUAGAGGAGACAGGUAGCCAAGUGGUUAGAGGAGACUGGUAGCCUAGUGGUUAGAGGAGGCGGGUAGCCUAGUUGUUAGAGGAGGCAGGUAGCCUAGUGGUUAGAGGAGAGGAGGUAGACCAGUGGUUAGAGGAGACAGGUAGACUAGUGGUUAGAGGAGACAGGUAGCCAAGUGGUUAGAGGAGGCAGGUAGCCUAGUGGUUAGAGGAGGCAGGUAGACUAGUGGUUAGAGGAGACAGGUAGCCUAGUGGUUAGAGGAGACUGGUAGCCUAGUGGUUAGAGGAGGCAGGUAGCCUAGUGGUUAGAGGAGACAGGUAGCCUAGUGGUUAGAGGAGGCAGGUAGCCUAGUGGUUAGAGGAGGGAGGAUGACUAGUGGUUAGAGGAGGCAGGUAGCCUAGUGGUUAGAGGAGGCAGGUAGCCUAGUGGUUAGAGGAGGCAGGUAGACUAGUGGUUAGAGGAGGCAGGUAGACUAGUGGUUAGAGGAGACAGGUAGUCUAGUGGUUAGAGGAGGCAGGUAGCCUAGUG